rnacentral:rRNA from 1 species
CGCUGGCGGCGUACUAAGACAUGCAAGUCGAACGAGGAUCGGCUACUUCGGUGGCCGGUGCGAGUGGCGGACGGGUGAGUAACGCGUAGGAACCUAUCGCCGAGUGGGGGAUAACGCUGGGAAACCGGCGCUAAUACCGCAUGGGGUCAGCGAUGAUCAAAGCCGAUGAGGCGCUGGGUGAGGGGCCUGCGUCCGAUUAGCUAGUUGGUGGGGUAACGGCCUACCAAGGCGACGAUCGGUAGCUGGUCUGAGAGGAUGGUCAGCCACACUGGGACUGAGACACGGCCCAGACUCCUACGGGAGGCAGCAGUUAGGAAAUUUUUCCAAUGGGGGCAACCCUGAGAGAGUAACGCCGCGUGGAGGAUGACGGCCUUCGGGUUGUAAACUCCUUUUCUGUGGGACGAGCAGAUGACGGUACCACAGGAAGAAGCCUCGGCUAACUACGUGCCAGCAGCCGCGGUAAUACGUANGAGGCGAGCGUUGUCCGGAAUUACUGGGCGUAAAGCGCGCG